AUUUUUAUAGUUUAUAUUUAAAACAUAGCCUUGAAAAUGCUAAAAAAAAUUACAUAUUUUAAAAAUA